GAUGAACGCUGGCGGCGUGCCUAAUACAUGCAAGUCGAGCGAACGGACGAGAAGCUUGCUUCUCUGAUGUUAGCGGCGGACGGGUGAGUAACACGUGGAUAACCUACCUAUAAGACUGGGAUAACUUCGGGAAACCGGAGCUAAUACCGGAUAAUAUUUUGAACCGCAUGGUUCAAAAGUGAAAGACGGUCUUGCUGUCACUUAUAGAUGGAUCCGCGCUGCAUUAGCUAGUUGGUAAGGUAACGGCUUACCAAGGCAACGAUGCAUAGCCGACCUGAGAGGGUGAUCGGCCACACUGGAACUGAGACACGGUCCAGACUCCUACGGGAGGGAGCAGUAGGGAAUCUUCCGCAAUGGGCGAAAGCCUGACGGAGCAACGCCGCGUGAGUGAUGAAGGUCUUCGGAUCGUAAAACUCUGUUAUUAGGGAAGAACAUAUGUGUAAGUAACUGUGCACAUCUUGACGGUACCUAAUCAGAAAGCCACGGCUAACUACGUG
rnacentral:rRNA from 1 species